rnacentral:rRNA from 1 species
UACAGAGGGUGCGAGCGUUAAUCGGAAUUACUGGGCGUAAAGCGCACGUAGGCGGCUUGGUAUGUCGGGUGUGAAAUCCCCGGGCUCAACCUGGGAACUGCAUCCGAAACUGCCUUGCUAGAGUAUGGGAGAGGGAAGUGGAAUUUCCGGUGUAGCGGUGAAAUGCGUAGAUAUCGGAAGGAACAUCAGUGGCGAAGGCGGUUCUCUGGGCAUGACCUGACGCUGAGGAGCGAAAGUGUGGGGAGCGAACAGG